GCUAACACCGAGGGAGCAUUUAUUUCGGAGGUAUCAUUUGUCAGAGCGCACAAAAUGAAAGUAAGCUCACCAUUGAAAAGCUGGAGGAGCUGGUCAGGUGAAAAGCGAUCCAGCUAUGAGCGGUGAGCUGGAAAGCCGACCCUCAGUUUUUCUUUCUUUUGUCUUAGUUAUUUUAGUUUGUUUUAAUUGUUAUUGCCUGGAACCUGUGAGGGUGAAGGGUGAAGGAGUUUGAUUUAUUAUUAUUAUUUGAUUUAUUUUAUUUCCUGUUGGUGUGGGUGCACACCCGGCCGCAUCUCCCUCCCAGGGGUGUCACACCAGUAUGUGACAGAUAUAUUUUCACAUUUUGAGCCUUUCAUUUUUCAGUGGCUAAAAACUAGUGACGUACAAACUCGUGACAUUGAAUUAUCGACUUCCCAUGCUUUAGCUGGAACACACUUUGCAAAGAAGCUGUUAGAAAAAAAGUUCCUCAUAAGAGUCAAUCUAACGAUUGUGUUUGGGAAACUCACUUAACAUCGCUUAAAAACCUCGUAAACACACUGAUUAAUCCUAAAAUACAACGAUAUCAGGAAACCUAAUCUGCUGCGAAGUGGACUCGAACAGUUUCAAUGAAAAGUCAAACUAGUAGAAUGGGACAGUAAUGCUUCAGCCUUGGCAGGUGGGUCACUUUUCCCCAAAGAAAUGGGCGGUGCAGGAAAUCUGUUCUUCUGUCAAAUGAAACCUAUACAUGGAUUAGGAAGAAAGAUGAUGCAGUUCACAAACAUGACAAAGGCUCUGUUGUGCUUGUGCUGAACGGUGUUGUUCAUCACUCUGAAAAUACUAAAAUAAGGUGCAUGCUGUACCUCA